UCUCACGGUUUACUCAGCCACUCAAGACUGAACACAUGCGUCAGUUUUCCCCUUCAGAUUAUGACCAACUGAGGAUUGAAUUAGAACUUGUGAAGCGACAGCACUACAAAGGUGAGAGUAAAACAGCU